rnacentral:rRNA from 1 species
UACGGGGGGAGCAAGCGUUGUUCGGAUUUACUGGGCGUAAAGGGCGCGUAGGCGGCCACCGCAAGUCGACUGUGAAAUCUCCGGGCUUAACCCGGAAAGGUCAGCCGAUACUGCGGGGCUAGAGUGCAGAAGGGGCAACUGGAAUUCUCGGUGUAGCGGUGAAAUGCGUAGAUAUCGGGAGGAACAUCAGUGGCGAAGGCGGCUGCCUGGCCCAAUACUGACACUCAGGUGCGACAGCGUGGGGAGCAAACAGG